rnacentral:rRNA from 1 species
UUCCUACGGGAGGCAGCAGUGGGGAAUAUUGCACAAUGGGGGGAACCCUGAUGCAGCGACGCCGCGUGGGUGAAGGAGUAUUUCGGUAUGUAAAGCCCUAUCAGCAGGGAAGAACAAUGACGGUACCUGACUAAGAAGCACCGGCUAAAUACGUGCCAGCAGCCGCGGUAAUACGUAUGGUGCAAGCGUUAUCCGGAUUUAUUGGGUUUAAAGGGUGCGCAGGCGGACCAUCAAGUCAGCGGUAAAAUCGUGGGGCCCAACCCCAUCCCGCCGUUGAAACUGGCGGUCUUGAGUGAGCGAGAAGU